GCUGUUUUCAAAUGUUGGCUGAUGCAAUCCUGAGUUGUGUUUUCCGAGCAAGGCUGUCAAUGAAUCACUUCCUUCAACGCUCUCGGAUAGGACUGGGCAGGGCAGCGAUGUCUCAACUCUCCAUACACUGCAGGCAGGUGCCCAGGGAGACUCUGCUGGAUGUGCACACAGACAAGUUACACCUUCAGGUCACCACUGUUUACCUGGUACAGCCGUGGGGACAUGCAGAUGAAAGGAAGACUUAGCUGAAGAGCUCAAGAGACUUGGUGAGAAAGCUCGCCCGGUGAGAAGUGAUCCAGCAUGACACCCGACUGUCAAACUAUGGAGAAAUCAAUAAUCCCCGUGCAUGUGAACAACCAGAGGCCAUAACAGGGCGGGCCACAGAGAGAGCUCAACGAAGAAAGGCC
rnacentral:lncRNA from 1 species